rnacentral:rRNA from 1 species
GACGAACUGUCCUAACGUUGUUCGGAAUCACUGGGCUUAAAGGGCGCGUAGGCGGUCCGCCAAGUCAGGGGUGAAAUCCUGGAGCUCAACUCCAGAACUGCCUUUGAUACUGGCGACCUUGAGUCCGGGAGAGGUGAGUGGAACUGCGAGUGUAGAGGUGAAAUUCGUAGAUAUUCGCAAGAACACCAGUGGCGAAGGCGGCUCACUGGCCCGGUACUGACGCUG